UCCGGGGGGGGCAAGCGUUGUUCGGAAUUACUGGGCGUAAAGGGCUCGUAGGCGGCCAACUAAGUCCGACGUGAAAUCCCCAAGCUUAACUUGGGAACUGCGUCGGAUACUGGAUGGCUUGAAUUCGGGAGAGGGAUGCAGAAUUCCAGGUGUAGCGGUGAAAUGCGUAGAUAUCUGGAGGAAUACCGGUGGCGAAGGCGGCAUCCUGGACCGACAUUGACGCUGAUGAGCGAAAGCUAGGGGAGCAAACGGG
rnacentral:rRNA from 1 species